CCAGGGUAGCCUUGGACUUGUGAUCUUCCUGCCUGAGCCUCCCAAGUAGCAAGGAUUCCAGGUGUGUAUCACCACACUUGGCUGAUAUUAAUUCUCGAAGUGGUAGAAUGUAGGAGUCACUGCAGACUUAAGAAUGGCUAUGUCACCUUAAGAUACAAAUAAAGGGAGGAUGGGACAAUAGUAAGAAAAAAAGGAAGUAUUUUCUGAUUUUGAAAGUCAUGAAUGGCUAAUAUAGAUAACUCAGAAAAGUAGAAAGAAAAAAGUCAUCAUCAGGCAGAUGGCCAUAAAGAACAUGUAUUUCUCCUGUAACAUGCAAAAGCGAUUGCACUGGGCUUCAUGGAAUUUUGUACUUGAACAAACUCAGGAGAUUUGGGCAAACUGCCAAUACAGUCCAAACUUCUUAGCAGAAACUAGAAUGUUUUUCAGGGAACUGAGUAUCCUGAGGGAAUGGCUAGAUGUAAAAGGACAACUGAAAUUUGGAGGAGAGGAAAAAAAGAGUGUGCUUGGUUGCUCGACUUCCAAAGGAACAAGGAUGGAACUGCACUUUUUGUGAAGACUGAGGCCUGAUCAUGCUGAUUUAGUAUUAAAAGAAAAAUCUGAGAGGCACCCAUAGGCUGCAUAACACUAUGUAACAAAGAGAAGAGUGAAGACUGUGGAUACAACAAGACUUGAAAGUUAGAAGAAAGGGUUUUGGAAGUCUUCACCAUGAAGAAAUGAUGAAUGUUUGAGGAGAUAACUGUUGUCCUUCAUUCUUGCUGGAAGCCACCUGACCACUGCCAGGAAGAGGAAUGCAAAACAUUCCCAGGAGCGGCCCUGACGUCAGGGCCACAUUCCACCUCUCCACAGUCAGGGCUGUCGGGAAGCUCUGGCCUCCAGCAAAACCCCUAGAAGAGAUAGCAGCUGGGCCUGCACUAAAUCAUACUAAGAACUCCUUCAUAUUGUACUUUAAAAAUGGACAGUAUCUUGUGAAUGCAGUGGGAAGGUGGUGGGUGGACGGAUGGAGGGAAGACAAGAGAGAAAGCCAGAGAGGGAGAAAGAAUAGGAACAAAAAGAGCUGGCUUUCUAAGAGACAUUACUGUUAAUCUUCACAACUAUUUUUUGUUUGUUUGUUUUUGUGGGUGGAAAAAAGGGAAAAAUAAGUAAGUAGCAAUCUUCAGAUGUCCAUUUAUCUUAGGCAUCAGAGUGUAGACUGAGAUGAACAACAGAAGAGUUUGGGCUUCAAUCACCAGGCCUUCCUCUAGUAAACCACCUAGAAGCCCUGUCUCCAAACCCUUCUUGGGAGGAAGACAAAAAUCCCAUUCAGGGAUGCUUUAGAAACACUAAGAAAGCAGUUGGUUCAUUUUUAAUAAUGAGACAUACUGCACAUAGAAAAUUGCACAUAUGGUUGGCAUAUAACAUUUUGUCAAGAUUGUGAUUUAUAUUUCUUAGAUUAAUAAUGAAACUAUUAAGAAUCUUGUUCUAACUAUAUCACAAGGUUAUAAGAUAUUAAAGUACUCAGAUGUUAUUUGACUUCUCUGUUUGGUGGGUGUUGUAACAUGUUACUAGGUAAAGAUACCUGAAGUAUAUAACUGGAAAUUUCAUCACAGUUGUCAAAAUAUGCACCUGUAAAUGGCAUUCUCCUAGGCCCUAAAGGUAACCGAGUUUCUACCUUCUGCAUAGAACAAAUAUCAAAAGGCCUAGAUGCCAAAUCAUUCUGAAAAAAUACAGACUUAGGGAUAUUUAUAAUGUCUCCUGCAUACCCACCUCCUAGCUGUACCCCGUGCGGUCACAGACAGGAAAGUCAGCAUUGCAGAUGCUGCCUCAGGGCUUCCUGACUUUCAUGAGGGUCAGGAACAGUUGAGGCUACAGAGUAAGUAUCUGGAGGCAAAUAAUGCAUGAUGAACAUAAUAAGCAAGAAGACCAAAGUAAUGGUUUAAGUUAUAGGGAUAUUUGGUGAUAGACAGUUAAUGAGGGGGUUCCUAGAACCAGAAUAGCUGAGAAGCAUUGGAAACUCUGGUCUGAGCUGUCAGUCAAGUGACAGAGGCCUGAUGUGAUCCAGCAUGACUGUACCAACAGUCCCUCUUCUUGGCCUAGCUGAGUCAGUUGGAGGUCUACAGACUCUAACUAAAGGAGAGAGGUUGGGUCCUUUAAGGAAAGAGUAUUCAAUAAUCUCGUCAUGUAACUUAAAAUUGCCAUUCUGCCCUUUCCCAAUGGAUAUACAGCUACUUUGGAGGAGAAAUGGAAAUAACCAAAGCUCUCAGGAUUUGUUAGAUGUUGUACCUGAACUGAUGCUAAUCCUCAAGGGAUACCUGGGCAUCCUGUCGGUUAAGUGGAAGGCUUCAUGAGUGUCAAACACAAAUGGAGUCUUACCUGUCUAGAACCUGAGUUUACACAUGGAAUACAUACUCACAAAUAGACAGAAUUUCCACAUUUGUGCCUGGACUCAUGUACAGUAGUCCUCCCUUAACUGUGGGGAUAUAUUUCAAAACUUCUAGUAUUGAAACCUAUCUGGCUUUCCCUAUAUUUAAAUAACCAUGAGAAAGUUUAAUUUAUAAAUUAGGCACAGUAAGAGAUUAAUAAUAAUGACUAAUAAAAGUUUAUGCUGUAAUAAAAA